rnacentral:rRNA from 1 species
CAUUGGGAGUGAGACACGGCCCAGACUCCUACGGGAGGCAGCAGUGGGGAAUUUUGGACAAUGGGGGCAACCCUGAUCCAGCAAUGCCGCGUGUGUGAAGAAGGCCUUCGGGUUGUAAAGCACUUUUGUCCGGAAAGAAAUCGCGCUGGCUAAUACCUGGCGUGGAUGACGGUACCGGAAGAAUAAGCACCGGCUAACUACGUGCCAGCAGCCGCGGUAAUACGUAGGGUGCGAGCGUUAAUCGGAAUUACUGGGCGUAAAGCGUGCGCAGGCGGUUUUGUAAGACAGGCGUGAAAUCCCCGGGCUUAACCUGGGAAUGGCGCUUGUGACUGCAAGGCUAGAGUGCGUCAGAGGGGGGUAGAAUUCCACGUGUAGCAGUGAAAUGCGUAGAGAUGUGGAGGAAUACCGAUGGCGAAGGCAGCCCCCUGGGACGAGACUGACGCUCAUGCACGAAAGCGUGGGGAGCAAACAGGAUUAGAUACCCUGGUAGUCCACGCCCUAAACGAUGUCAACUAGUUGUUGGGGAUUCAUUUCCUCAGUAACGUAGCUAACGCGUGAAGUUGACCGCCUGGGGAGUACGGUCGCAAGAUUAAAACUCAAAGGAAUUGACGGG